rnacentral:snoRNA from 1 species
UGUUUGAGAGAACUUUCACUCUUUUGCAAAUGAUUCAAUGCAGGCCAGACUAACAUACAUUAUGAGCAUAUAGCAACCAAGCUGGCAAUAUGUGAUAUGCAGAUUGGGUGAUGCUUCAAAAACAUU